rnacentral:rRNA from 1 species
AUUGAACGCUGGCGGCAUGCCUUACACAUGCAAGUCGAACGGUAGCGGGCCUUCGGGUGCCGACGAGUGGCGAACGGGUGAGUAAAGUAUCGGAACGUACCUUUCAGUGGGGGAUAACGUAGCGAAAGUUACGCUAAUACCGCAUAUUCUGUGCGCAGGAAAGCAGGGGAUCGCAAGACCUUGUGCUGAUUGAGCGGCCGAUAUCAGAUUAGCUAGUUGGUGAGGUAAAGGCUCACCAAGGCGACGAUCUGUAGCGGGUCUGAGAGGAUGAUCCGCCACACUGGAACUGAGACACGGUCCAGACUCCUACGGGAGGCAGCAGUGGGGAAUUUUGGACAAUGGGGGCAACCCUGAUCCAGCCAUGCCGCAUGAGUGAAGAAGGCCUUCGGGUUGUAAAGCUCUUUCGGCCGGGAAGAAAUCGUAUCAGCUAAUACCUGGUGCGGAUGACGGUACCGGCAUAAGAAGCACCGGCUAACUACGUGCCAGCCGCCGCCGUAAGAC